CGAGCGAGCUUGCCUAGAUGAUUUUAGUGCUUGCACUAAAUGAAACUAGAUACAAGCGAGCGGCGGACGGGUGAGUAACACGUGGGUAACCUGCCCAAGAGACUGGGAUAACACCUGGAAACAGAUGCUAAUACCGGAUAACAACACUAGACGCAUGUCUAGAGUUUGAAAGAUGGUUCUGCUAUCACUCUUGGAUGGACCUGCGGUGCAUUAGCUAGUUGGUAAGGUAACGGCUUACCAAGGCAAUGAUGCAUAGCCGAGUUGAGAGACUGAUCGGCCACAUUGGGACUGAGACACGGCCCAAACUCCUACGGGAGGCAGCAGUAGGGAAUCUUCCACAAUGGACGAAAGUCUGAUGGAGCAACGCCGCGUGAGUGAAGAAGGGUUUUGGCUCGUAAAGCUCUGUUGGUAGUGAAGAAAGAUAGAGGUAGUAACUGGCCUUUAUUUGACGGUAAUUACUUAGAAAGUCACGGCUAACUACGUGCCAGCAGCCGCGGUAAUACGUAGGUGGCAAGCGUUGUCCGGAUUUAUUGGGCGUAAAGCGAGUGCAGGCGGUUCAAUAAGUCUGAUGUGAAAGCCUUCGGCUCAACCGGAGAAUUGCAUCAGAAACUGUUGAACUUGAGUGCAGAAGAGGAGAGUGGAACUCCAUGUGUAGCGGUGGAGUGCGUAGAUAUAUGGAAGAACACCAGUGGCGAAGGCGGCUCUCUGGUCUGCAACUGACGCUGAGGCUCGAAAGCAUGGGUAGCGAACAGGAUU
rnacentral:rRNA from 1 species